ACCCAGCUGGAGCUGCCUCUCAUCCAACCUGCAGACAGGUAGUGACACUUCCAGCCUUACCUGAGACAGAUCUGAAUGCAGAGCAGUUCAGCAGGAAUCCACCCCUGUGUGCUCAAAUCAAGAGAGAAUCAGAUUGAUCCUCCAGCUCAGCGAAGGACAUGGUUUCUUUGGACCACCAAUGCAUCUGAUUCCAAAAGCAGAACUUAUGAUGAGACUGUCUUGUUUAGGAUUGCAACUCAGUCAGGUGAAGACACCAAAGCCAAAUGGGCAGCCCAGCAGUCCCAUGUUCCAGUGAGCACCUGACCACCAUCAUGUAAGGAAAGAACAGCGGAUUCUGAAAAUGUGUGCUCAGGAAUGGCCUUUACCUCUGCUGUCCUCUUACUAUGGAUGGGACUGUUCACAUGAAUGGAGGCUGCAGGACUGGAUCCACGGUAAAUACUUGAUUUAGUGGGAUAAUAUUCUGAGCGUUUUGAAAUGAGAUUCAGCUUACUCAAAAGCAUAUUUAUAAUUCACUGGAAGUGUUUGCUGUUCCCAGGUUGUCUUUCUCUAUUGGUGGUAUCUGAUACAUAGCAUACAGUAAUGCUGUGUGGAACAC